rnacentral:rRNA from 1 species
GACGAACGCUGGCGGCGUGCUUAACACAUGCAAGUCGAACGGGAAGGCCCUGCUUUUGUGGUGGGCGCGAGGGGCGAACGGGUGAGGAACACUUGAGUAACCUACCCUUGACUUUGGGAUAACUUCAGGAAACUGGGGCUAAUACCGGAUAGGAGCUCCGGCUGCAUGGUGGGGGUUGGAAAGUUUAGGCGGUUGGGGUUGGACUCGCGGCGUAUCAGCUUGUUGGUGGGGGAGUGGCUUACCAAGGCUUUGACGGGUGGCCGGCCGGAGCGGGUGACCGGCCACACGGGGAAGGAGCCAACGGCAGGCAUCAUACGGGAGGAAGCGGCGAGGAAUAUUGGACUAUGGGAGGAACCCUGAUGCAGGAACGAAGCGCGUGGGAUGACGGACUUUGGCUUGCAAACAGGUUUCGCUUGGGAAGAAGCGUAAGUGACGGUGAUGGGUAAAGAAAGCCCGGCUAAACACGUG